rnacentral:rRNA from 1 species
UGAGUAACGCGUGGGUAAUCUGCCCCCAAGACCGGGAUAACAGUGCGAAAGCGCUGCUAAUACCGGAUAAUCUCUUCUUGUCGCAUGAUAGGGAGAGCAAAGCUCCGGCGCUUGGGGAUGAGCCCGCGUUCCAUUAGCUAGUUGGUGAGGUAACGGCUCACCAAGGCGACGAUGGAUAGCCGGCCUGAGAGGGUGACCGGCCACACUGGGACUGAGACACGGGCCAGACUCCUACGGGAGGCAGCAGUAGGGAAUUUUCGGCAAUGGGGGAAACCCUGACCGAGCAACGCCGCGUGGGGGAAGAAGGCCUUCGGGUCGUAAACCUCUGUCUUUGGGGACGAUAAUGACGGUACCCGAGGAGGAAGCCCCGGCUAACUACGUGCCAGCAGCCGCGGUAAUACGUAGGGGGCGAGCGUUGUCCGGAAUCACUGGGCGUAAAGGGCGUGUAGGCGGCCUGUUAAGUCAGGCGUGAA